AUCGGGUCAAUAACGGAGAUGACGCAUCCAUCCGGUGACCUUAUCCCUUCGCCGGUGAGAAAAUAAAAAAAAUCUCAGAUCUCUCUUACCCUCAAAACACCUUUGAAAUCCUCAGAUCUGAAAAAAAAAACAAAAUCCAUGGAGGAAGAAGACUCGCCGAAAUCUCCUGGAGAUUCCUCCUCACCAGCACCUCCCUCUCCUCCUCCUCCGAUUUUACCUACCAACGACGACGUCACGGCGACGAAACCGCCUCAAUCUCCGUCGCGAAACGCGUUAGCGGUCCCCACUCCUUCCGUUGGAGGAGGCAGCAGAAACGGACGAAGCGGAGGAGGAGGAGGAGGAGGAGGAAGAGACGAUUGCUGGAGCGAGGAAGCGACCAAGGUUCUAAUCGAAGCGUGGGGGGAGAGAUUCUCGGAGCCAGGGAAAGGGACGCUGAAGCAGCAGCAGUGGAAGGAAGUAGCGGAGGUUGUGAACGAGAGCCGUCAAUGCAAGUACCUCAAGACCGAUGUUCAGUGUAAGAACAGGAUCGAUACGGUUAAGAAGAAGUACAAGCUUGAGAAGGCCAAGAUCGCUUCUGGUCAUGAUGGGCCUAGCAAUUGGGUUUUCUUCAAAAAGCUCGAGGCUUUGAUAGGCGGCGGCAACGCUAAGGCUCCGGCUCCGAUGGGACGACGCCAGGGGAAAGGAACUGGUUUGAAGAGAAGCUCUGGUGGUGAUUCGAUGAGGUGGCAUUUUAGGAAACGAAGUGCGUCCGAGACUGAGUCUGAGUCUGAUCCUGAGCCUGAUGACUCCGCUGAGAGUCUCCCACCGCUGGUGGUGUCGAAGCGGUUGAAGAUGGAUGAGGAGAGUGGGGUCGGAGAUGUGGCCAAGGCGAUUCUUGGAUUCACUGAGGCGUACGAGAAGGCGGAGACUGCUAAGCUGAAGCUGAUGAUGGAGUUGGAGAAGGAGAGGAUGAAGUUCGUUAAAGAGAUGGAGUUGCAGAGGAUGCAGUUUUUGAAAACUCAGAUGGACAUGACUCAGAACGAUCAAGAGGAGGAGAGGAGCAAGCCAAGGAGGAUCAAUGAUGAUGACGAUGAUGUCAAGAAUAAUGGCGAUGGAAUUGAAGAUGGAUCCGGGUCUUGUACCGGAUUCUCCGAUCGGGUCAAGCAGCAACCCGGGGACGCCUUUGACCCCGGGGACACCAUGUGAUAACUUUGGACCAUUUAGCGCCGAGAAAGUACCUUCCGCGGGUGAAGCCGAUGCCGCAAGUCUCAAUACUUAUGAAUGGAUUGUGAUCAACGCAUGCGCAUUGGACCGUUGAAACCGACGAGAAAGUGAGAAAGUGAUACUGGUUCAGUGGUUUGUAUAAUAUAUCAAUAAGCUAAGCAUGUAAUUAUGUAAAUAACAAAAAAAAAAGUUGUACAUAAG